rnacentral:lncRNA from 1 species
CCCGAGCCCGCCGUCUGCGCCUGCGAUUUCGCCCAUACUCCCCGGUGCCCGCCUCGUGACGUGCCGCAGUGUUACGAAGGGACACCAGGGCGCAGGCGCAGCUCGCUCCUCAGGCCUGCGAGAGGCCCGCCGGCCCAGCAGAGGGCGCCCACCAAUCUGCACGCGGGCCCAGCGAGUUAUCUUGAUUUCGGCCAAGCUUUCUGACUGCUCCAAAAAACGAAGAAAAAGAUUCAGGGAGAGUAAGAGGAUGAAGAGAGCUGGUGAAGCAGCUGACCAAAUGGCCCGAGGUGGACAGGACCAACCCUCUGCCCCCGGCUCAGGCCAGAGCUCGGCGAGACCGUCGCUGUUUAACAAGCAUUUGCUAUACGCCACCUUGCAUUAUGACAGCAUGUGACCCACACAGCCAUCCUAGGAAGCAGGUAACAGCCCUACUCCAUUUUGCACGGAAAGACUUGCCUGAGGUCACAGAGAGCGGCAGGCCUGGGAUUUCCAUCCAGGGAUCCGACUGCAGAGCACGACUCUGGAGGGUCUUCCUUCUUGCUCCUCCCAUCCUUCCACUGUCCUUGGAUCCCCCAUUUUCCCCCUGCACAAUCUCCUAAUCCCUAUGUUCAACUUCUCAUUUUCAACUGGAUCUUUCCCAAUGGCAUUCAACACACUUGGUGUCCCCAACCUUAGAGUAGAACAUUCAAGCAGCACAGCCUCCUGAAGGCCCUCACUCAUCCCUUUCCCAGCCUGUUUGCGAAAUGCUUUGUCAGGACUCAAAGUUAAGUCUCACUUCCGUCCAAUUCCCAUCCCCACACCAACACAGUUCUCAAGUCACCAAUGGGUAAAAGGCUUCAGUGAUCCACUCCUACAGCCAAAAGGCACUGCUCGGUCUCUUCAGCCUCAGAUGGUUCACUCCUGGAAACAUUUUUCCACUUGGCUUCAUGACACCACAGUCCUGGUCUUUCUCGUCCCAGGUAAGGAGAGUCCUGGUCUUUGUCAACCCAGGUGGCCACUAUUACUUUGUCGUCUUAAUAUUCAGUUCUGGAUCUCUUCUUAUUCUAUACCCUUCCUAGGCACUGUCCCCUCCCACAGCCUCCUUCUCACCUUUUCCAUAACCAUGUCUAGGCCCGGCAGCCCCACAUUUACCACUUGCACACCAGACCUUAUAAUUCCAGGCCUGAAUAUCCACCUGCCCAGGGACACUCCCACUUGGAUGUCCCGAGCACCUCCAUUUUGCCAUGUCUGAAACAGAAUUCAGCAUCAGUUCCUCACAACUGGUCUUCUACAGACUUCCCCAGUAAUCCCUCAACCCACCUGCCAAUAUUUAAGCUGUUUGUAAGCCACUCAUGCAAACAUUCAAUAACCCAACUACGUGUCAUAGAUUGGUCUGAACACCUAGCUGUUAACAUAAAGAUGAGCAUAAAAGACAAAACCCCUGCCCUAUUGAAGCUAGUUCAGUAAUCACACACAUUCCAACCGUGGUAUAUGAGGUGGAGAAGAGGUACAAAGGAAAACGAGAGGGUACCACAGGACUUGACUGAGUGUGGCAGGCCACGGAUGGCUCCCUGACACAGUAACCUUAAGUAACACAUCCUGAGGCUGAGCAGGAAUUCAUUAGGUGGAGACAGGGAGCGAACUCCUGCAGAGAGGAAAGAGGGGCAGAAAGCCUGGCACUCACUGGCACUGUCGAUUCCCCACAUGACCUUUCAAUCCCUUGCCUCUUGAGAGGAACCAUCUCUGCUUUGCUCAUCACUGUUUCCUUGAUGCUGAGUAAAACAUGACUCACAGGAAGGAUGCAAAAACUACAAAAAUGGAGGCCUCACUCCACUACUCCAUUCUGUGACAUAAGCCACGUCAACUCUUUCAACACUCUGGCACCACUUUCAACACUCUGGUACUAGAAUAACUCAGUGUUCUAAUAUGUAAAAUGUAAAUGCUUGCCUUGCAAACCUGCUGAGAAGCAAAUCCAUUAUUUAAUGAAUAAAAAGCACUUGAUAAAAGCACUAUUCCCAAAAUUAAGAAUUAAAUUAUGAGAGAUCUUCAACAGACCAAAAACAAAU